GCCUGUCUGGGAGUGGCGCACGGGUGAGUAGCGCGUGGGAACCUGCCCUCUUGUGGGGGAUAACCGAGGGAAACUUCGGCUAAUACCGCAUGCGCCCCGGGAUUUUGGUCCUGGGGGAAAGAUUGAUCGCAGGAGGAGGGGCCCGCGUCGGAUUAGCUGGUUGGUGGGGUAACGGCCUACCAAGGCGAUGAUCCGUAGCUGGUCUGAGAGGAUGAUCAGCCACACUGGGACUGAGACACGGCCCAGACUCCUACGGGAGGCAGCAGUGGGGAAUAUUGGACAAUGGGCGCAAGCCUGAUCCAGCAAUGCCGCGUGAGUGAUGAAGGCCUUAGGGUUGUAAAGCUCUUUCGCCCGCGACGAUGAUGACGGUAGCGGGAGAAGAAGCCCCGGCUAACUUCGUGCCAGCAGCCGCGGUAAUACUAAGGGGGCGAGCGUUGUUCGGAUUUACUGGGCGUAAAGGGCGCGUAGGCGGCCCGCGCAGUCGAGUGUGAAAGCCCCGGGCUCAACCUGG
rnacentral:rRNA from 1 species